UACGGGGGAGCAAGCGUUGUUCGGAUUUACUGGCGUAAAGGGCGCGUAGGCGGUCGUGACAAGUCACUUGUGAAAUCUCCGGGCUUACUCGGAACGGUCAAGUGAUACUGUCGUGCUAGAGUACAGAAGGGGCACUGGAAUUCUCGGUGUAGCGGUGAAAUGCGUAGAUAUCGAGAGGAACACCUGCGCGAAGGCGGUUGCUGGGCUGAUACUGACGCUGAGGCGCGAAAGCUAGGGGGGAGCGAAACGGG
rnacentral:rRNA from 1 species